rnacentral:rRNA from 1 species
CAGUCGCCACGGUAAUACGGAGGGUGCAAGCGUUAAUCGGAAUUACUGGGCGUAAAGCGCACGCAGGCGGUCUGACAAGUCAGAUGUGAAAUCCCCGGGCUUAACCUGGGAACUGCAUUUGAAACUGUCAGGCUGGAGUCUUGUAGAGGGGGGUGGAAUUCCAGGUGUAGCGGUGAAAUGCGUAGAGAUCUGGAGGAAUACCGGUGGCGAAGGCGGCCCCCUGGACAAAGACUGACGCUCAGGUGCGAAAGCGUGGGGAGCAAACAGGAUUAGAGACCCCUGUAGUCCCUGUCCUUAUACA